rnacentral:rRNA from 1 species
GACAGAGGGUGCGAACGUUGUUCGGAAUUACUGGGCGUAAAGCGCAUGUAGGCGGCAGCGCAAGUCGGGCGUGAAAUCCCACGGCUCAACCGUGGAAGUGCACUCGAAACUGCGCAGCUAGAGUCCUGGAGAGGAAGGUGGAAUGCUUGGUGUAGAGGUGAAAUUCGUAGAUAUCAAGCGGAACACCGGUGGCGAAGGCGGAUCUCUGGGCCUUACCUGACGCUCAGGUGCGAAAGCUAGGGGAGCGAACAGG